UACGUAGGGUGCAAGCGUUGUCCGGAAUUAUUGGGCGUAAAGAGCUCGUAGGCGGUCUGUCGCGUCUGCUGUGAAAACUCAGGGCUUAACCCUGAGCUUGCAGUGGGUACGGGCAGACUAGAGUGCGGUAGGGGAGACUGGAAUUCCUGGUGUAGCGGUGAAAUGCGCAGAUAUCAGGAGGAACACCGGUGGCGAAGGCGGCCACCUGGACGGAUAUUGACGCUGACAGCGCGAAAGCUAGGGGAGCGAACGGG
rnacentral:rRNA from 1 species